GUCUACGGCCAGGCUACCCUGAACAAGCCCAAUCCCAUCUGAUCUCAGAAGCUAAGCAGGGUCGGGCCUGGUUAGUAUUUGGAUGGAAGACCACCUAGGAAGACUAUGUGCUAUAGGUG
rnacentral:rRNA from 1 species